rnacentral:rRNA from 1 species
GACGAACGCUGGCGGCGUGCUUAACACAUGCAAGUCGAACGGAAAGGCCCUGCUUUUGUGGGGUGCUCGAGUGGCGAACGGGUGAGUAACACGUGAGUAACCUGCCCUUGACUUUGGGAUAACUUCAGGUAACUGGGGCUAACACCGGAUAGGAGCUCCUGCUGCAUGGUGGGGGCUGGAAAGUUUCGGCGGUUGGGGUUGGACGCGCGGCUUAUCAGCUUGUUGGUGGGGUAGUGGCUUACCAAGGCUUUGACGGGUAGCCGGCAUGGGUGGGUGACCGGGCACAUUGGGACUGAGAUACGGCCCAGACGCCUACGGGAGGCAGCAGUGGGGAAUAUUGCACAGUGGGCGGAAGCCUGAUGCGGCAACGCCGCGUGCGGGAUGACGGCCUUCGGGUUGUAAACCGCUUUCGCCUGUGACGAAGCGUGAGUGACGGUAAUGGGUAAAGAAGCACCGGCUAACCACGUG